GAAAUGAUGGUAUAAUCAAGUUCUGUUUCCAUUUUUCGUGGCUGGCUCUAUAAGCAAGUCUAGAUACAUGAUUAUUUGUGUGUUCUUGUUGGAGUCUACUUGAAAUGAUGGUAUAGUCAAGUUUUGUUGCUGCCAGUAGUUGUCGUUGUUGUACCUUAGUGUUGUAGUAUCAUGUUAUGAAAUCCAUAGACAUCCAACUGGAUGAGCCUUCGUAAUAACAUCCUCUUUUGGACUUGUUUUAGAACUACUGUUCUUAUGCAAAUGCACAUACAAUCUUGAUAUCACGGUGAUCGUUGUAUUAGGUGUGGUGGUUCCUCUGAUGAUAAUACUUGGUUAAAAUUUGUGUUACGGCUUGCUGUUUUCUUGCGAAUUCCAUCAACCUUUCCUAGCUGAAUGCUGUGAUAUGAUUCUUGUCAGGAAAAUGUUAGAUGUGUUGAUGUGUGGAUCAUUGUACAGUGACAUUCUUACAUCUCAUUUUAACUUCGACAAAUCCCUUGCGAAUUUAUCAGUAUUUAGUACUCCAUAUAUUUUAACUUUGACAAAUCCCUUACCAAUGAAUAAAUAUGUUAACAUUAGAUGACUGCAUCAACCAAUGUGUAGACUUGAGUUACUGUUUAGAAGCUGCAAAUUUGGACAAUGUGAACUUUUAGUUUAUUUAGGAAAGUAUUUUACAUAUUAGUUUAAGCUUAAGCUUAUGACUAGAACAUGUAUUAUGCAUAUGCUUUUAAGUUACAAGUUUGGUUUUUUUAUUAUUUACUGCCAGCCAACUAUCAGUGGAGAGAUCCAGUCACCAAUGGGUCCUGCCUCAGUGGAAUUUAUUGAUCCAAGGGAACCCAUUGCAGAUAUGAUUCUCUCUCUCUCUCUCUCUCUCUAACACACACACACACACACACACACACGUGCGCGCACAUAUGUUCUGUCUUCCAUGCUCAUUCUUUUUCCAACCUUUUGUAUGAUUCUGUUGUUCUUAGGUAUAAAAUCUUGGAAAUAAUACUUUGUCUUAAGAUUUUUACUUUGAUAGUUGUGGAUCCCAUGCUUGCAACAGGUAUAUAUAUUCCUGACUAGAAAGUAGAUGUUUCUCGUAUAAAAUGGCCAAUGCAUUAAGUGAUUUAGGCACAAAGAUUUGGCUUCUUUCUGGUGACGAUAUAAAUAUGAGUAUAAGAAAUAGAGAUAUGCUUAUUUUAUCCAGUAUGAACAAUACAAAUGACUUAGGGGCAUUGAAUUGGAAUCAAAUUCUUAAAAGAUGAUUUAAUUUGUCUGCUGAUUAAUGGUGAGUAAUGAUGACCGUGAACACACCUUAAAUCAGCUUCUCACUGUAAGACUCUGAAAUCUAGCUUACUUUUUCUGAAUCACUUUUAAAUGAUGUUAUUAUAGCUAUUUUGUUGCUAUUCUCGGUUGGCUCUUUGUAUGCUUUUGUGGCAGGUUUGUGGUGGUGGAUUAAAUGAGCCAUACGUUGAGCUGAAGAGGCUUGUGAAUUCACAAGAAAAGUUGUACCAGAUGGCUAGCUAGUUGCAUAUUUAAUAUGUUUAGUAUUUUUGUAAGGCAUAAUAGUAUAGAUAGAGCAGUUGUUGAAUUUUGACUAUAUUCAAAUCUUGUAUGAAUUCUUUUUUAUGAUAAUAAUAUAAAAUUAAAUAUUUUGGAUG
rnacentral:lncRNA from 1 species